CGGACGGGUGAGUAACACGUGGGUAACCUGCCUGUAAGACUGGGAUAACUCCGGGAAACCGGAGCUAAUACCGGAUAGUUCCUUGAACCGCAUGGUUCAAGGAUGAAAGACGGUUUCGGCUGUCACUUACAGAUGGACCCGCGGCGCAUUAGCUAGUUGGUGGGGUAAUGGCUCACCAAGGCGACGAUGCGUAGCCGACCUGAGAGGGUGAUCGGCCACACUGGGACUGAGACACGGCCCAGACUCCUACGGGAGGCAGCAGUAGGGAAUCUUCCGCAAUGGACGAAAGUCUGACGGAGCAACGCCGCGUGAGUGAUGAAGGUUUUCGGAUCGUAAAGCUCUGUUGUUAGGGAAGAACAAGUGCGAGAGUAACUGCUCGCACCUUGACGGUACCUAACCAGAAAGCCACGGCUAACUACGUGCCAGCAGCCGCGGUAAUACGUAGGUGGCAAGCGUUGUCCGGAAUUAUUGGGCGUAAAGGGCUCGCAGGCGGUUUCUUAAGUCUGAUGUGAAAGCCCCCGGCUCAACCGGGGAGGGUCAUUGGAAACUGGGAAACUUGAGUGCAGAAGAGGAGAGUGGAAUUCCACGUGUAGCGGUGAAAUGCGUAGAGAUGUGGAGGAACACCAGUGGCGAAGGCGACUCUCUGGUCUGUAACUGACGCUGAGGAGCGAAAGCGUGGGGAGCGAACAGGAUUAGAUACCCUGGUAGUCCACGCCGUAAACGAUGAGUGCUAAGUGUUAGGGGGUUUCCGCCCCUUAGUGCUGCA
rnacentral:rRNA from 2 species